UUUUUAAGUUUUAGUGGCGGACGGGUGAGUAACACGUGGGCAACCUGCCUAGAAGAGUGGGAUAACAAUGAGAAAUCAUUGCUAAUACCGCAUAAGACCACAGAGUCACAUGAUUCAGUGAUCAAAGGAGAAAUCCGCUUUUAGAUGGGCCUGCGGCUGAUUAGUUAGUUGGAGUGGUAAUGGCACACCAAGACGAUGAUCAGUAGCCGAGCUGAGAGGCUGGCCGGCCACAUUGGGACUGAGAUACGGCCCAGACUCCUACGGGAGGCAGCAGUCGGGAAUAUUGGACAAUGGAGGGAACUCUGAUCCAGUGACGCCGCGUGAAGGAAGAAGGUCUUCGGAUUGUAAACUUAUUUUGUCAGGGAAAAAUAAAAUGAUGGUACCUGAAGAAAAAGCACCGGCCAACUACGUGCCAGCAGCCGCGGUAAUACGUAGGGUGCAAGCGUUAUCCGGAUUUACUGGGUGUAAAGGGCUAGUAGACGGCAGGGCAAGUCAGAUGUGAAAUUUCAGUGCUCAACAUUGAAACUGCAUCUGAAACUGUUCUGCUAGAGUGCAGGAGAGGAAAACGGAAUUCCUAGUGUAGCGGUGAAAUGCGUAGAUAUUAGGAGGAACACCAGUGGCGAAGGCGGUUUUCUGGACUGUAACUGACGUUGAGGAGCGAAAGUGUGGGGAGCAAACAGGAUUAGAUACCCUGGUAGUCCACACUGUAAACGAUGGAUACUAGGUGUAGGUAGGCAACUAUCUGUGCCGUCGCAAACGCAAUAAGUAUCCCACCUGGGGAGUACGGCCGCAAGGUUGAAACUCAAAGAAAUUGACGGGGGCCCGCACAAGCAGUGGAGUAUGUGGUUUAAUUCGACGCAACGCGAAGAACCUUACCAAAACUUGACAUAGAUGGGAAUAUCAGGUAAUACUGAUAGUCUUUCGGGACCCAUUUACAGGUGAUGCACGGUUGUCGUCAGCUCGUGUCGUGAGAUGUUGGGUUAAGUCCCGCAACGAGCGCAACCCUCGUGACUAGUUGCUACUAUUUAAUUAGAGAACUCUAGUCAGACUGCCGUAGAUAAUACGGAGGAAGGUGAGGAUGACGUCAAAUCAUCAUGUCCCUUAUGUUUUGGGCUACACACGUACUACAAUGGUCAUAACAGAAAGAAGCAAAGCAGCGAUGUGGAGCAAAACUAAAAAAAAUGGCCCUAGUUCGGAUUGGAGGCUGCAACUCGCCUCCAUGAAGCUGGAAUUGCUAGUAAUCACAGGUCAGCAUACUGUGGUGAAUACGUUCCCGGGCCUUGUACACACCGCCCGUCACACCAUGAGAGUUGGUAAUACCCGAAGCCA
rnacentral:rRNA from 1 species